GAUGAACGCUGGCGGCGUGCCUAAUACAUGCAAGUCGAGCGAACGGACGAGAAGCUUGCUUCUCUGAUGUUAGCGGCGGACGGGUGAGUAACACGUGGAUAACCUACCUAUAAGACUGGGAUAACUUCGGGAAACCGUAGCUAAUACCGGAUAAUAUUUUGAACCGCAUGGUUCAAAAGUGAAAGACGGUCUUGCUGUCACUUAUAGAUGGAUCCGCGCUGCAUUAGCUAGUUGGUAAGGUAACGGCUUACCAAGGCAACGAUGCAUAGCCGACCUGAGAGGGUGAUCGGCCACACUGUAACUGAGACACGGUCCAGACUCCUACGGGAUGCAGCAGUAGGGAAUCUUCCGCAAUGGGCGAAAGCCUGACGGAGCAACGCCGCGUGAGUGAUGAAGGUCUUCGGAUCGUAAAACUCUGUUAUUAGGGAAGAACAUAUGUGUAAGUAACUGUGCACAUCUUGACGGUACCUAAUCAGAAAGCCACGGCUAACUACGUG
rnacentral:rRNA from 1 species